AUCUCUCAUACGAAGAACAAGAAAGGAUAUGCAUGCAUUCAUUGUAUAUACUAUUUGGUGCCUUUUGUGUGUUGCGCUUGCUUGCGCCAAGAGUCAAUAUACGAAAUGAAUGUAGUCGAGAGGACUCAAGAAUCCACGUAGAUUCCCAUCGCGCCUAUGUGUCUUAUUGUGCCAUGGAUCGGAGGAGGAAGCUUCUGCUGCAGUGUCCUGCUGCAAACGGAGGACGAUGUUGUGGGAUGACGCUUGUUUGUCUGUGU
rnacentral:lncRNA from 1 species